AGUUUAUGGAUCUUUGAUUCUUUUAAAAUUGAUCGAUAUUGGAUUUUUUUUUUUAUUUAUGGAUAUUGGAUUUUUUAAAAGGCUCCUGCAGAAGAAUCUGAGAUUUUAAACCUAUUUAAAUUAGAUAUCAAUAAUUUUCCUUUUAUUACACAAUACAAAUUUUUUACUCUGCCCAAAGAUAUAUAGAAAAUUAUAGAAAAUUGGAUUUUGGUGUGUGUGAUCACGGCCCGCUUAUAGAUAUGAUUCUAUCUAUCUAUCUACACUGAACUCGGCCUCAGUACAAAUUUUCUUUUGGUAAUUUUUUCCAUGGGCCUACCAGCUGAUGUAGCAAACCGGACCCUAGAUUUGUUGUGUUUAUUUUAGGGCAUAUUUAUGUUUUUUUUAAUGUUUCUUUUAUACAAUUUUUUAUUUUUUUUAUUCAAAAUAGAUUUUUUUUGUUUACAAAGAAUUAAUAUCUGAAGGAAAGUUCAAGAGUAGGAAGUUUGUACAGCUGUGUUGAUAAACAGUGGGCCCUGUGAUGUAUGAACAUGAGGUACUGCAGUGUAAUAUCUUGUAAAAAUAAUAGUACUUGUCAAGAUAAAAUCUUUUUUUCGUUCCCGAAAAAUGACCUAAGAGUAGCAUGGGCGAAAUUUACAGGCCAACCUUCCUCCUGGAAUCCGAAAAAAUGGAGUGUGAUAUGCUCAGACCAUUUUUCUCCUGAUGAUCUUAAUAGGGUUUCUAAAAGACUACAAUCUGGAGCCAUGCCAUCCUCUAACCCACAGUCAUUAGCAGUUCAAGGAGGGGUGGGGGCAAAGUUUGAACUGUAAAUUCAGAACAUUUAGCUUCUUGGAUAUGAGGCAAAAGUCGAACAAGUAUACUUUAAAGGUACACAUACAGUCCAAUCACCUUGUGGUUGCUUACUUAAGUACUACUUUUUCUCUUCUUCAAACUAAACUCUGUGAAAUUAAAAGGGAAAAUUAGGUUACAGCACUGCAAUAAUAUGUAUUUUUUUUUGAAGAUUUCAUUAUCAAUAUAAAGUUUUAAAGCUUUUUCUAGAUUUAAAAAGAAUAUUUUUUUCAGAUCAUUCCUAUGAAACCCAGGAGACCACACUCAAUAGACUGUCUGCUGCAAACAAUGAUUUACAACAGCUUAACAACAAACUUCGAGUUAGGAACACCAGGUUAAAGCAGAAAGUAAAAUCAUUGGAGGAUGCCCUGGAGAAUGUAAAAUCUCAGAGAACCAAGAUCCAAGUUCAGCUGUCCAAGUUGAUCUUGUUCAAAAAUCAGUAGGAAGGAAGAAUCCCUCAUUAUUGUUAUCAAUAUUAUAUAAACAAUACUUUUUUAAAUAAAAAAUUUGGCCUUUUUU